AGGAUGAACGCUGGCGGUCUGCUUAACACAUGCAAGUCGAACGGAGUAGCAAUACUUAGUGGCGGACGGGUGAGUAACGCGUGAGAAUCUACCUUCAGGACGGAGACAACAGUUGGAAACGACUGCUAACCCCCGAUGUACUGAAAAGGCAAAUAUUUAUAGCCUGAAGAAGAGCUCGCGUCCGAUUAGCUAGUUGGAGAGGUAAAAGCUCACCAAGGCGACGAUCGGUAGCUGGUCUGAGAGGACGAUCAGCCACACUGGGACUGAGACACGGCCCAGACUCCUACGGGAGGCAGCAGUGGGAAUUUUCCGCAAUGGGCGAAAGCCUGACGGAGCAAGACCGCGUGGGGGAAGAAGGCUCGUUGGGUUGUAAACCCCCUUUUCUCGUUGGGAAGAACACAAUGACGGUACCAGAGGAAUCAGCAUCGGACUAACUCCGCGCCAGCAGCCGC
rnacentral:rRNA from 1 species